UCCAUCUGUAAAAUGGGGACGAGAAAGGGAGAAUGCAGUGCUGACUGCAUCAGCUGUAGCUGGCCUGGUGCUAGCAGCUUGGCCAUGGUACCCCCACCCAGAGCGACUUCACUGGACAGCUGUAUAUGGGAAGACUUCACGCUGACUGUGAUGAAACAAGACAGAAAUAAGAGCAUUCUGUGAUCACGUCUGAGUGCGAAGCCAGCUGCUGUAUCAUGAAUCAGUCCUGUGGAGAGGUCCAGGUCGCGAGGGCUCAAAGCCCACCAACUGUCACAUAAAGGUGCCUGGAAGAAGAGCCCCCAGUUGAACCUUCAAAUGGGACCAUGGAGUCUGACAGCUUAACUGCAGUUUCAUGAGAGAUCUUGAGCCAGAGGCAUCCAGAAAAGUUAAACCCAGAAUCCUGAUCCACAAAACCUGGUGGCCUUUGCUGAGCUGGUACCUUGGACUGGGGGUAGUGGCCAUGAGCCUGCAGAGAAGAGGAUGGAAUCAAGAGCUCUCAUGGCGCUGGAUCCAACAGGACUUGAUAGAUUGCAGGUGAGGUCACGUAGGAAGGGAGCACUCAAGGAUGACUCCAUGGUUUUGGACAUGAACAGCAGGACAGAGGCAGAGGCCUUUUACUGAAAGAUGGAAGAUGGCGGAGGGGCAUGAGUUGGAAAAAUCUAGAGCUCCGUUGGAGACAGAAUCAGUUCAAGAUGCCCAUUGGUGGGCCAAGCCAUCCGUCUUCCGCUACACUGUGCUGUGUCCCCAGUGUUGAGCCCAGUGCUUGGCGUGGAUCGGGCUCUCAGAAAGCAUUUGUUGAAUGAGAGAACUGAAAUGAUACGCUUAAAAGCUACAGAUGACUAAUGGCUUCUAGAACAACAGAUGAUCCAAAGUCCGUAGUGAUAGCUAAUUAAACCACUCCAAUCCGAUGUCCAAAAAAUUGUAUGCUAGACACCACCCUUCCAUUCUCCCCUUUAAUUGAACAGGCCCCGUCUUUUCUGCUCUUGUAGCCCAUUGUUCUUCAAAUGUAAUUAGCCUUUGUGUUUUGACAGUAAGCAAGACUCUGG